rnacentral:rRNA from 1 species
GGGGAAUUUUCCGCAAUGGGCGAAAGCCUGACGGAGCAAUGCCGCGUGAAGGAUGAAGGCCUAUGGGUUGUAAACUUCUUUUCUCAGAGAAGAAUAUUGACGGUAUCUGAGGAAUAAGCAUCGGCUAACUCUGUGCCAGCAGCCGCGGUAAGACAGAGGAUGCAAGCGUUAUCCGGAAUGAUUGGGCGUAAAGCGUCUGUAGGUGGCUUUAAAAGUCUCCUGUCAAAGAUCAGGGCUUAACCCUGGGCCGGCAGGAGAAACUCUGAGGCUAGAGUUUGGUAGGGGCAGAGGGAAUUCCCGGUGGAGCGGUGAAAUGCGUAGAGAUCGGGAGGAACACCAAAGGCGAAAGCACUCUGCUGGGCCACAA